rnacentral:rRNA from 1 species
AGUGAACGCUGGCGGUAGGCCUAACACAUGCAAGUCGAACGUCAGCACAGUAAGAGCUUGCUCUUACGGGUGGCGAGUGGCGGACGGGUGAGGAAUACAUCGGAAUCUACUUUUUCGUGGGGGAUAACGUAGGGAAACUUACGCUAAUACCGCAUACGACCUACGGGUGAAAGCAGGGGAUCUUCGGACCUUGCGCGAUUGAAUGAGCCGAUGUCGGAUUAGCUAGUUGGCGGGGUAAAGGCCCACCAAGGCGACGAUCCGUAGCUGGUCUGAGAGGAUGAUCAGCCACACUGGAACUGAGACACGGUCCAGACUCCUACGGGAGGCAGCAGUGGGGAAUAUUGGACAAUGGGCGCAAGCCUGAUCCAGCCAUACCGCGUGGGUGAAGAAGGCCUUCGGGUUGUAAAGCCCUUUUGUUGGGAAAGAAAAGCAGCAGGUUAAUACCCCGCUGUUCUGACGGUACACAAAGAAUAAGCACCGGCUAACUUCGUG